rnacentral:lncRNA from 1 species
GUUGAACAAUUAAUUCUUCCCAACAAAGAUCCUGGAAGCAGUGCAAAAUCGCAGAAGGACCACCUAGGCAGACAUUAUUAUUGUUAUUAUUAUUGAAAAGGGCAGGAAAAAUAGACCCAAAAGAAAGAAAAAAGAGGAAGGCAAGUUACAGAAUUAAAUGAGGAGGAAGAAGAAGAAGAUUGCAGAGGAGUUGUUUGGCAUUUCACGUGGAUCAUAAAAAUCCAAAGCAAAAUCUAAAACAAGAGAAGGCAACAGCAGAGUCAACAAAAAGCAAGUUAUGGAUAGCAACCAAUCUCUUAACCAUUUUGUGUUUACACUCUAUGCAUGCUUUUUUCUUCGUU